AUGGUCUGAUGAGUCGCUUCAGGUCCUUUGGGGAAGACUUGGAAGAAGCAAGAUCCAUGGCAAAGAAGCCGUGUUCCCACUUCAGGAGGGAAGCAAGAAAGUUAAUCCUCCUCUGAGUUUUGUCCAAGGCCCCAAACACCUGAUGACAUCUAAGAAGAUCCGGAUCCCAACCAUGUUCCAGGAUAUUAGCUUCAAACCAACCUCGGCUGACGCGGGCAUCAAUGCCCCCACCUUCGGUAAUUUACGGAGUAACACCUAUUGUUCACCUGACACCUGCCUUUGGUCGGACCCUAUCCUGAUUCCCAGAGGAACAUGCACCCUAGACUCCUUUCUAGUAUAAACUAAGAACAAGUGACAGUCUCAUUCUCCUUUCCUUUCCCCCCAGACACUCCAUCUGCUCUGCUCUUCAUACACU